AAAUAAAGAUAUUUAUCAGGAUUCCUAAUCCUGGUGCCGCAGGUUCGAAUCCUGCCUGGAGCACCA
rnacentral:tRNA from 1 species